GACGAACGCUGGCGGCGUGCUUAACACAUGCAAGUCGAACGGAAAGGCCCUGCUUUUGUGGGGUGCUCGAGUGGCGAACGGGUGAGUAACACGUGAGUAACCUGCCCUUGACUUUGGGAUAACUUCAGGAAACUGGGGCUAAUACCGGAUAGGAGCUCCUGCUGCAUGGUGGGGGUUGGAAAGUUUCGGCGGUUGGGGAUGGACUCGCGGCUUAUCAGCUUGUUGGUGGGGUAGUGGCUUACCAGGGCUUUGACGGGUAGCCGGCCUGAGAGGGUGACCGGCAACUUGGGGAUGAGGAUACGGCCCGGACUCUAACGGAGGGAGCAGGGGGGGAUAAUGCACAAUGGGCGGAAGCCUGAUGCAGCAACGCCGCGUGCGGGAUGACGGCCUUCGGGUUGUAAACCGCUUUCGCCUGUGACGAAGCGUGAGUGACGGUAAUGGGUAAAGAAGCACCGGCUAACUACGUG
rnacentral:rRNA from 1 species